rnacentral:rRNA from 1 species
UACGUAGGGGCAAGCGUUGUCCGGAAUCAUUGGGCGUAAAGAGCGUGUAGGCGGCCAGAUAAGUCCGCUGUGAAAUCUCGAGGCUCAACUUCGAGCUGUCGGUGGAAACUGUCUGGCUAGAGUCCGGAAGAGGAGAAUGGAAUUCCUGGUGUAGCGGUGAAAUGCGCAGAGUAUCAGGAAGAACACCCGUGGCGAAGGCGGUCUCGUGGGACGGUACUGACGCUGAGACGCGAAGCGUGGGAGCGAACAGG